rnacentral:rRNA from 1 species
GAUGAACGCUGGCGGCGUGCCUAAUACAUGCAAGUCGAGCGAACAGACGAGGAGCUUGCUCCUUCGACGUUAGCGGCGGACGGGUGAGUAACACGUAGGUAACCUACCUAUAAGACUGGGAUAACUUCGGGAAACCGGAGCUAAUACCGGAUAAUAUUUCGAACCGCAUGGUUCGAUAGUGAAAGAUGGCUUUGCUAUCACUUAUAGAUGGACCUGCGCCGUAUUAGCUAGUUGGUAGGGUAACGGCUUACCAAGGCAACGAUACGUAGCCGACCUGAGAGGGUGAUCGGCCACACUGGAACUGAGACACGGUCCAGACUCCUACGGGAGGCAGCAGUAGGGAAUCUUCCGCAAUGGGCGAAAGCCUGACGGAGCAACGCCGCGUGAGUGAUGAAGGUCUUCGGAUCGUAAAACUCUGUUAUUAGGGAAGAACAAACGUGUAAGUAACUGUGCACGUCUUGACGGUACCUAAUCAGAAAGCCACGGCUAACUACGUG